ACGAACGCUGGCGGCGUGCUUAACACAUGCAAGUCGAACGGAAAGGCCCUGCUUUUGUGGGGUUCUCGAGUGGCGAACGGGUGAGUAACACGUGAGUAACCUGCCCCUGACUUUGGGAUAACUUCAGGAAACUGGGGCUAAUACCGGAUAGGAGCUCCUGCUGCAUGGUGGGGGUUGGAAAGUUUCGGCGGUUGGGGAUGGACUCGCGGCUUAUCAGCUUGUUGGUGGGGUAGUGGCUUACCAAGGCUUUGACGGGUAGCCGGCCUGAGAGGGUGACCGGCCACAUUGGGACUGAGAUACGGCCCAGACUCCUACGGGAGGCAGCAGUGGGGAAUAUUGCACAAUGGGCGGAAGCCUGAUGCAGCAACGCCGCGUGCGGGAUGACGGCCUUCGGGUUGUAAACCGCUUUCGCCUGUGACGAAGCGUGAGUGACGGUAAUGGGUAAAGAAGCACCGGCUAACUACGUG
rnacentral:rRNA from 1 species